rnacentral:rRNA from 1 species
AGCGAACGCUGGCGGCAGGCUUAACACAUGCCAGUCGAGCGGGCACUUUCGGGUGUCAGCGGCGGACGGGUGAGUAACGCGUGGGAACGUGCCCUCUGGUUCGGAAUAACUCAGGGAAACUUGAGCUAAUACCGGAUACGCCCUUUUGGGGAAAGGCUUGCUGCCGGAGGAUCGGCCCGCGUCUGAUUAGCUAGUUGGUGAGGUAACGGCUCACCAAGGCGACGAUCAGUAGCUGGUCUGAGAGGAUGAUCAGCCACACUGGGACUGAGACACGGCCCAGACUCCUACGGGAGGCAGCAGUGGGGAAUAUUGGACAAUGGGCGCAAGCCUGGUCCAGCCAUGCCGCGUGAGUGAUGAAGGCCUUAGGGUUGUAAAGCUCUUUUAUCCGGGACGAUAAUGACGGUACCGGAGGAAUAAGCCCCGGCUAACUUCGUG